UUAGCUCUUAACUUUUCAACACACUAUUCUCUUUCUCUAUCUCUUUCUUUAUAUUUUCUUCUCUUUUUGCCGAAAUUCAGUCCAUCGAUAAAAGACGACGGAGGAGAAGAAGUUGAGCGUUAGAUUCAUCAAUUGCGUUGACGGAGAGUAAAGGAUCUUGUUGAUGUAGAGGUGUUAUGUGACGGCGGCUCCGACAAUUUUGGCGGUUGCUCUGUGGCCGGAGAUGGUGAUAACGAUUAUUCCUCUAUAAACUUCUUCAGCCGUUCACAGGCCUUUAGAGCCUUUGUGUGUGGGUUUUUAGGCAUCAGAUCUUGUAUAAUUAGACAAAAAGACAUGUGCUUUCCAUCUAUGGUGUAUCCUCCACCGUUUUCCAUCGUCUCCACAACCAUUAUCCGCCGUCUCUGUCACCGCACCGUGUCUCCACCAACAUUCUCUAGCAUCUCUGCCACAAUUUUAACUUGGUCCAGAGUCGGAACUCAAAUCGUACCCGUCACAACGUAGAAAUGGUUAGAUUAUGAUAUUUACAAUUUUGGUCUAGAUAAAGAUAUUUAUUAUAAUUUCUUCUGCAAAACUCUCACUGGCCAUCCGAGGAAAGAUGUAGAGCUGAUGCACGAUAAUCUUUUCCUCAUCCUUUACAAGACCUAAAAUGAGAAUUUAUGCCUCUACGAAUUUCCAACUGAGACAUGUGAGGUUAAUCUUUUAUGUUGAAGUUCCUUUUGGCGAACAUAAAAGAUGUCCAAAGCUUCCGUUAUUCUGUGAGAGAGUAGUUAGUAGGGAGCGUGACUAUUGUUGCAGAGAGACAAGUGAGUAGUUAAUUUGGGCUAUUGUACAUCGUUUACAGUGUACAUGUGGACACUUACAUGCGGAUACCAACAAAAAAUUCAUGUACACUGAUGAACUUAUGGUCGUAUGUACAUAUCAAUAAUUUUUUGUUUGUAAA